UGGGGAAUAUUGCACAAUGGGCGCAAGCCUGAUGCAGCCAUGCCGCGUGUGUGAAGAAGGCCUUCGGGUUGUAAAGCACUUUCAGCGGGGAGGAAGGCGUUAAGGUUAAUAACCUUGGCGAUUGACGUUACCCGCAGAAGAAGCACCGGCUAACUCCGUGCCAGCAGCCGCGGUAAUACGGAGGGUGCAAGCGUUAAUCGGAAUUACUGGGCGUAAAGCGCACGCAGGCGGUCUGUCAAGUCGGAUGUGAAAUCCCCGGGCUCAACCUGGGAACUGCAUUCGAAACUGGCAGGCUAGAGUAUUGUAGAGGGGGGUAGAAGUCCAGGUGUAGCGGUGAAAUGCGUAGAGAUCUGGAGGAAUACCGGUGGCGAAGGCGGCCCCCUGGACAAAGACUGACGCUCAGGUGCGAAAGCGUGGGGAGCAAACAGG
rnacentral:rRNA from 1 species